rnacentral:rRNA from 1 species
AUUGAACGCUGGCGGCAUGCCUUACACAUGCAAGUCGAACGGCAGCACGGGUGCUUGCCCCUGGUGGCGAGUGGCGAACGGGUGAGUAAUACAUCGGCACAUGUCCUGUAGUGGGGGAUAGCCCGGCGAAAGCCGGAUUAAUACCGCAUACGAUCUACGGCUGAAAGCGGGGGACCUUCGGGCCUCGCGCUAUCGGGUUGGCCGAUGGCUGAUUAGCUAGUUGGUGGGGUAAAGGCCUACCAAGGCGACGAUCAGUAGCUGGUCUGAGAGGACGACCAGCCACACUGGAACUGAGACACGGCCCAGACUCCUACGGGAGGCAGCAGUGGGGAAUUUUGGACAAAGGGCGAAAGCCUGAUCCAGCAAUGCCGCGUGUGUGAAGAAGGCCUUCGGGUUGUAAAGCACCUUUGUCCGGAAAGAAAUCCUUGGCCCUAAUACGGUCGGGGGAUGACGGUACCGGAAGAAUAAGCACCGGCUAACUACGUG